rnacentral:sRNA from 1 species
AUGCAAAUAACCUGAAACCUCUAUUGGAUAUGCGAAUACCUAGAAGAUGGUAGUUAUGUUCCUCAAGACAUAGAGCAG